rnacentral:rRNA from 1 species
AGUCGAGCGGUAACAGGAGUAGCUUGCUACUCGCUGACGAGCGGCGGACGGGUGAGUAACGCGUAGGAAUCUGCCUAAUAGUUGGGGAUAGCCCGGGGAAACCCGGAUUAAUACCGAAUACGCUCUACGGAGGAAAGCAGGGGAUCUUCGGACCUUGCGCUAUUAGAUGAGCCUGCGUGAGAUUAGCUAGUUGGUGAGGUAAUGGCUCACCAAGGCGACGAUCUCUAGCUGGUCUGAGAGGAUGAUCAGCCACACUGGGACUGAGACACGGCCCAGACUCCUACGGGAGGCAGCAGUGGGGAAUAUUGCACAAUGGGCGCAAGCCUGAUGCAGCCAUACCGCGUGUGUGAAGAAGGCCUUAGGGUUGUAAAGCACUUUCAGUAGUGAGGAAAGGGGUGUAGUUAAUACCUGCAUCCUGUGACGUUAGCUACAGAAGAAGCACCGGCUAAUUCCGUGCCAGCAGCCGCGGUAAUACGGAAGGUGCGAGCGUUAAUCGGAAUUACUGGGCGUAAAGCGCGCGUAGGUGGUUCAGUCAGUCAGAUGUGAAAGCCCCGGGCUCAACCUGGGAACUGCACCUGAUACUGCUGGACUUGAGUACGGUAGAGGGUAGUGGAAUUUCCUGUGUAGCGGUGAAAUGCCUAGAUAUAGGAAGGAACACCAGUGGCGAAGGCGACUACCUGGACCGAUACUGACACUGAGGUGCGAAAGCGUGGGGAGCAAACAGGAUUAGAUACCC